UACGAAGGGGGCUAGCGUUGUUCGGAAUUACUGGGCGUAAAGCGCACGUAGGCGGAUAUUUAAGUCAGGGGUGAAAUCCCGCAGCUCAACUGCGGAACUGCCUUUGAUACUGGGUAUCUUGAGUAUGGAAGAGGUUAGUGGAAUUGCGAGUGUAGAAGUGAAAUUCGUAGAUAUUCGCAGGAACACCAGUGGCGAAGGCGGCUAACUGGUCCAUAACUGACGCUGAGGUGCGAAAGCGUGGGGAGCAAACAGG
rnacentral:rRNA from 1 species